rnacentral:tRNA from 1 species
GGCGGGAUAGCUCAGUUGGUUAGAGCAGGGGACUCAUAAGCCCAAGGUCGGUGGUUCAACUCCACUUCCCGCCA